ACUCUGUUCUUAAGAAAAAUAUCAUGGACUAUUGGUAAGAGUUUAUUUCUGAAUGAUACUUGUGAGAUCUACACAAAACUCAUCUCCUAGUGUCUUAAAGGCAGAGCUGGCAGGGCAAAAGACCUUGGAUUUCAGCCUGAGUGUGCAUGAGACAGCUGAGGUUUCUCAUGUUACAUUGAAUGCAGGGAAACAGCUGGAAAGUCAGAAAGUUCACAGUGCCACAACGGUGGUGGUGGAGAACUCAGCAAGACUGAUAAUACUUUGCAUUUGAAUAGCUCAGCAGUGCCCAGAGCAUUGCCCAGUGUGAGAGUCAGAUUUACAACAAAUAAUUCUGAUGCUUACUGAGUGAGCUGCUCCUGUUCAGUGCCCAGAGCAGCUUCUCUCCCGUGCUGCCUUCCCUGAGGUUUGGGAGGGGGUCUACCACUUCACUGUUGCACCAGUCACUAAGGUUUGGUGUACAGAGAAUUGCUCUGUCUCUGAAAAAUAGUAAAACCUCCUGUGUGAAGAGAAGGGAAAAAAUUCUGACCAUUCCCAUUUGAACUGCAAAAGCAUGAGCCAGCAAACUCCCAUUCACAUCUUCUCCUAGGGCAGCAAUAACCAAAUCAAUGCAGCUGAAGAUCAUACCAGGGACACCCUCCUGUGUUUGGAUGAGCUCCCCUGGACCUGUGCAACUCCCUGUGCAAACACUUCAGCCAUGACAGGGAGGGGAAUGAGAGACUCCUGCAGGGCACAUCCUCUGCUUGAUUUCCCUGAUGAAGCUGGGUCAUGAAGGAUGAACCAGUGUCACACCUGCAACUUUAACAGAUUUCCUUAGCCUGCCAGCCCAUGCUGUUACCAGGUCAUUGCUCAUCCAGACCAUAUGGACAGUUCUCAUCCUGCAUCCCACCACCUUUGCUCCAGGCUGGUGUCUUGGGUCCUGCCUGUAUCUGGGGGUUUUACUGAGAUGCAAGCCCUGAUCCUGUUCUGGAGGGAUGUGCUCAUCCUUGGCUGCCUGGAUGCAGUGCUGUCCCCAGCUCUCCAUGGGAUACAAGGCUAGAAACCUUCAGCAGUAGGUCAGGAGAUCUCUGCUGUCACCUGGUGACUCAAAGGCUUUCUGCUCCCAAAGCACAUAUCUAAACCAGGGCUGAAGUCCUGCCUUGUAUGCACCUACUUCUCUCUGCAGAGAGGGAGCCCAGUAUCUGUAGGCAUCUAAAGUUACAUGAGCUGAGUCACAGCCCUGUGGUUUCUGCACCACUCUCAGGCUGAGUUUCUCACAGCUAAUUCUGCUCCAGCCCCUAAUCUACAGUUCUCCAGGUUAUGAACAACCUCUAAGCCAUUUAAUUCCUCUGUGCAUCAAGGACUCCUCAGCAAGCUCCAACAGCCACAUUCAGCAUCCACCAAAACAAUUCUGACUUUCAAGGCUUCCUCAUGAAGAGCAAGGGGUUUAAAAACCCAUCUCCAUUGAUUCUGCCUUCCUCUUGGAUAAUUUUAAAGCCACGGGACUUUAUCUUACAUCCCAGGCUCAUCUAUAUUAGGAGCUUUGGUGGGAUUUUUAGCAGUGGUCAAGUUCACUGGUUUUUUUUCUCUUUAUAAAUUAGCAGUUAUCUCUUGUCUCAGUUGAGGAAGAGGAAAUUGGAGAUGACAGAGCACUCUUGUUUCUGAAAGGGCCCCCUCCUGAGAGUGUGGACAUAGUGACACACUGCUGUGUGUCAGUCAGACAUCCUUGCCUCAGCUCCAUAUUUAGAUCCAGCCUGGAGCAGCUUCAAGAUCUGCAGGUCUGGCACAACAGAGGAGGCACAGGGAGAAACUGCCUGGCAGUGGCCACUCCAGCAAAAAUCCACUUGAGGUGAGGGGACCUGGGGAUGUGGUGAAGAGCACUGCCCUUCCCAGCACACCCCACUCAUCCUGGGAUGCAGCAAACCUGGCUUUCUGCCAGGAAUUGAUGCCAUGUGUUCCUGUGCUCUCCUGGUCCUGAGUGGCUUUGCCAGAUGAACAAUCUGGGAGAACUCCCACAAGAAACAUCUUUCACUUUCUCACUGUUGGCCUUCACUGGCACUUUUUAAAGGAAAAAAGUAUCUUAAGGACA